UAAAUGGUCUAUUCGCUUGUAG
rnacentral:siRNA from 1 species